rnacentral:sRNA from 1 species
GGAAGGAUCAUUAUUGAAAUAAACCUGAUGGGUUGUUGCUGGCUCUCUAGAGAGCAUGUGCACGCCUUGUCAUCUUUAAAUCUCCACCUGUGCACCUUUUGUAGACCUUUUCAGGUCUAUGUUGUCUCAUUUACCCCAAUGUAUGUUAAUAGAAUGUUGUGACUAUAUAAUAUAUACAACUUUCAGCAACGGAUCUCUUGGCUCUCGCAUCGAUGAAGAACGCAGCGAAAUGCGAUAAGUAAUGUGAAUUGCAGAAUUCAGUGAAUCAUCGAAUCUUUGAACGCACCUUGCGCUCCUUGGUAUUCCGAGGAGCAUGCCUGUUUGAGUGUCAUUAAUAUAUAUAUCAACCUUCUCUUGUUGAAUGGUUUGGAUGUGGGGGUUUGCUGGCCUCUUAAAAGGAUUCAGCUCUCCUGAAAUGCAUUAGCAGAACAAAACCUGUUCAUUGGUGUGAUAACUAUCUACGCUAUUGAAUGUGAGGUGGCAGUUCAGCUUUCUAACAGUCCCUUGGGACAACUCAUCAUUAAUGUGACCUCAAAUCAGGUAGGACUACCCGCUGAACUUAAGCAUAUCAAUAAGCGGAGG